GCUACUACAAAAGUACCGGCUUUUAGGCUGCUUGUGAUUUAAUAAUUAUUUAACUCUUUGCGGGAUAACAUACACCUUACUGGACGCUAGUAAUCAAGAACGUGUUCAGCCCGUGGAAUGCCGCGCAAAAUCAACGUGGGCCUCGUCACGCUGGCUGCACUCGCGACGGCCACAUUAGCCGACCCGACCAUGGACCGGCGGGCCAGUAUGGGGUUCAUGGGAAUGCGGGGCAAGAAGGAUGAUCAAAGUGGCGGCGGUGGCAGUGACGAGGCGUCCUCCGCGGCUGCGAUUGAUCUGGACAAGCGGACGCUGGUGUUUCGGCAACCACUGUUCGGUGGCGACAGGACCGCGUUAGGCGGUGGCGGCUCAGCGGAAGGGUUCAAGCGUGCCAUGGGGUUCAUGGGCAUGCGUGGCAAGAAAGAGUAUUACAAGGGCUCGGCAGCCGCAGGGUUCUUCGGGAUGCGGGGUAAGAAAGUGCCGUCCGCGGACGCAUUCUUCGGCGUACGCGGAAAAAAAUGGCCGGGCUCUGUACCGCAGCCAUUGCCGUCCCGGGACGACGGCGCUGACGACGUAGACGUUGAACGGGCCGUGUUUGUGCUGCACAGGAUCAUCGACAACUUAAGGUCGGAUCAAGAAAAGGGGCUAAUUUAACUGGUAGAUACUUUUAAGUAUCGCUACUGGUAAGUACUCGCUAUCGACAUUUUAUGAACUCACACAUUGGGCUUUAUUGAUUUAGCGAAGCUUCGUGGCAACUAAAUUCAACGAAGAACAAGAAAUGCGUUAAAUUUUUUUUUUUUUAGAAUACUCCGUAGCACAAAAUCAAUACUAUGAGUUUUACC